rnacentral:snRNA from 1 species
AUACUUACCUAGAAGAAGAGAUACCAUGAUCACAAAGGUCGUUUUCCUGGGGUGAGGCUUAUCCAUCACAUCCAGAACAUCUUGAUAUUCUAACCCCUACGGUUUCCCCAAAUUCAGGAAACUCAACUGCAUACUUGGUGGUAGUGAGGAACUGUAUUCAUGCUCCCCUGU